CAAAUUAAUUACCAUCUGUCUUGGUGUUCUCAGGCUGCCAUGGCAAAAUAUCACAGACCAUCUUGAAGAACAGAGUUAUUCACUGGAGGCUCACAAGACUACAGUGAACGUCUGCUGGAACUGGGUGUCUGGAGGACCUUCUCCUGCGUUGUAGAGGUUACCCUGUCCUCUCCUUUCAUGGGUGUGUGUCUGCUGGAGCUGACAGGGUUUGUGGAAGGGAAGUAACCCAAAGAUACUCAACACAGCCAGCCUCCAAGGAAGCCGGGCACACACAUCAGUUCUUGGCACAAAGAAAAUGAUUUGGC
rnacentral:lncRNA from 1 species